rnacentral:rRNA from 1 species
GGAAUGGAUCCUGGCUUAAAUCUACAUGGCCCCUGGAUUGGACUGCGGCCGAUCAGGCUGUUGGUGAGGUAAUGGCCCACCAAACCUAUAACCGGUACGGGCUCUGAGAGGAGAAGCCCGGAGAUGGGCACUGAGACAAGGGCCCAGGCCCUAUGGGGCGCAGCAGGCGCGAAAACUCUGCAAUGGGGGAGAGCCUGACAGGGUUACUCUGAGUGAUUUCCGCUAAGGAGAUCUUUUGGCAGCUCUAAAAAUGGUGCAGAAUAAGGGGUGGGCAAGUCUGGUGUCAGCCGCCGCGGUAAUACCAGCACCCCGAGUGGUCGGGACGAUUAUUGGGCCUAAAGCAUCCGUAGCCGGUUGUGCAAGUCCUCCGUUAAAUCCAGCCGCUCAACGGAUGGGCUGCGGAGGAUACUACAGAACUAGGAGGCGGGAGAGGCAAGCGGUACUUAGUGGGUAGGGGUAAAAUCCUUUGAUCCAUUGAAGA